UACGAAGGGGGCUAGCGUUGUUCGGAAUUACUGGGCGUAAAGCGCGUGUAGGCGGGUCUUUAAGUCAGGGGUGAAAUGCCAAGGCUCAACCUUGGAACUGCCUUUGAUACUGGAGAUCUUGAGUCCGGGAGAGGUGAGUGGAACUGCGAGUGUAGAGGUGAAAUUCGUAGAUAUUCGCAAGAACACCAGUGGCGAAGGCGGCUCACUGGCCCGGUACUGACGCUGAGAUGCGAAAGCGUGGGGAGCAAACAGG
rnacentral:rRNA from 1 species